GUGAGGUUUUGAAAUUUGUUGUUUGGAAUUUUGCGGAAAAUUUGCAAUGGAAAUUUAUUGUUUGAAUAAUUUCAAAUAGUUUUCUAUGCAGAUAUGGUGGCGAAAUUUGCUAUAUUUCUGUGCAACUCUGUCAAGGUUUUACUAUUAGUUUCAAAUUUUCCCAUGUUGAAUGGAAUUAUAUGAUCACAACAAUGGCCCAAGAGGUUGUGAAAAUGAAACAGGGAAUGUCUUAUUCUUGUAAAGAGAAAACUAUUAUCCUGAACGUUUUUAAAUAUUUCAAAAGCACGUACCCGGAAAAAUGUGUUACUGAAAUAGUUAGGCGCACUGCAAAAGCGACUGGGUGCAGUGAAAAGAGUGUAUUUCAAUUUCGCAAAGAAGAAGCAAGCGUAGAGGGUUUCAAAGAACCUUCGAAAACGAAAAUACGUAAAAACAUUAAUAUAAAUAGCAGGUUUAUUAAGUAUGACGAUAACGUAAGACAAGAAAUAAGAAAUAUAAUUUAUGAUUUAAAGUACAGAAAUAUCAUACCUAGCUUAAGUUUGAUAUUGAAAAACGUUAAUGGGAAUGAGAAGUUGCCAAACUUCUCUCUGAUGACCCUGAGGAGGUUAUUGUUUGACAUGGGGUUUUGUUAUGAGAAAGAAAAAAAUGGCAACAAGUCUAUUCUUGUAGAGAAAACUUCUAUCAAGAAGGAAAACUUACCUGUGAAGAACCGAAAUGAAGUGAAAGCUUCUAUUUCUACCAAACCCAAUAUUCCUCAAAGUAUACCAAAAACUCUUCCUGUGCCCCAGGCCCCUUUACAUCAGAUCCCUCCACUACCUCAACAACCUGCUCAGCCACAUAAUGUGAAUUUGCAACAAAAUCAAAUGUUUGUGCCUAACCAAGCUCACAGAGGUUUAGGAGUGCCACUGGGUCACCAUGAAAACCAUAUGGUGGAACCCAUUCAUCUCCAACAUAGUAUGAUGUGGAAUCAUAGAAUGCCACAUCAGGUCCAUCCUGUGCCUCAUAACGUUGGUUUCAUGCACCACACUGCACACCCACAUGGGAUGGUGACUCAUCAAUGAGUUCACAUUGGCUGUCUGAAGAAGAAUGUCUGUGGCUAUCAGUGUGCCAGUCCUACCAACUCCUGCGCUGUGAAUUCGUAAUUUUAAGUCAGUUAGGUAUAAAUUGAUGGAUG